CUACACGACCGUACCGCAAACCGACACUGGUGCGCGAGAUGAGUAUUCUAAGGCGCUUGAGAGAACUCAGGAGAAGGAACUCGGCAAAUUGACACCGUAACUUCGGAAGAAGGUGUGCCUUUAGUAGGUGAAGGGAUUUACUCCUAGAGCCCAAUGAGGUUGCAAAAAAUCGGUGGCUGCGACUGUUUAUUAAAAACACAGCACUCUGCAAACACGAAAGUGGACGUAUAGGGUGUGACGCCUGCCCGGUGCUGGAAGAUUAAAUGAUGGGGUGCAAGCUCUUGAUUGAAGUCCCAGUAAACGGCGGCCGUAACGAUAACGGUCCUAAGGUAGCGAAAUUCCUUGUCGGGUAAGUUCCGACCUGCACGAAUGGCGUAACGAUGCCACACUGUCCCCUCCUGAGACUCAGCGAAGUUGAAAUGUUUGUGAUGAUGCAAUCUCCCCGCGGAAAGACGGAAAGACCCCAUGAACCUUUACUGUAGCUUUGUAUUGGACUUUGAACAGAUCUGUGUAGGAUAGGUGGGAGGCUUUGAAGUAGGGUCGCUAGAUCUUAUGGAGCCAACGUUGAAAUACCACCCUGGUGUGUUUGAGGUUCUAACCUAGGUCCAUUAUCUGGAUCGGGGACAGUGCAUGGUAGGCAGUUUGACUGGGGCGGUCUCCUCCCAAAGCGUAACGGAGGAGUUCGAAGGUACGCUAGUUACGGUCGGACAUCGUGACGAUAGUGCAAUGGCAUAAGCGUGCUUAACUGCGAGACUGACAAGUCGAGCAGAUGCGAAAGCAGGACAUAGUGAUCCGGUGGUUCUGUAUGGAAGGGCCAUCGCUCAACGGAUAAAAGGUACUCUGGGGAUAACAGGCUGAUACCGCCCAAGAGUUCAUAUCGACGGCGGUGUUUGGCACCUCGAUGUCGGCUCAUCUCAUCCUGGGGCUGUAGCCGGUCCCAAGGGUAUGGCUGUUCGCCAUUUAAAGAGGUACGUGAGCUGGGUUUAAAACGUCGUGAGACAGUUUGGUCCCUAUCUUCCGUGGGCGCUGCAGAUUUGAGGAAGCCUGCUCCUAGUACGAGAGGACCGGAGUGGACACACCUCUGGUGUAUCGGUUGUCACGCCAGUGGCAUUGCCGAGUAGCUAAGUGUGGAAGAGAUAACCGCUGAAAGCAUCUAAGCGGGAAACUCGUUUCAAGAUGAGAUCUGCCGGGGCCUUGAGCCCCCUAAAGAGUCGUUCAAGACCAGGACGUUGAUAGGUCGGGUGUGGAAGCGCAGUAAUGCGUUAAGCUAACCGAUACUAAUUGCUCGUGCGGCUUGACCCC
rnacentral:rRNA from 1 species